rnacentral:lncRNA from 1 species
GUGCAAGCAUACUUUACAGCAUUACCUUUUUUUUACAGUUUUUACUUUAUUUGCAAUUUUUAUUUUCUUUUCCAGUCAAUCUUUCAGCACUUAAUUAAUUUUUUACACAAUAGUUUCUACACCGGAAACUAUCGUGUAUCUUUUACUGGAUCUAACCUUACGUUAGAUCCUAGAUUUUUAUUCCUUCACUUUUUAUUUUCCUGUCCGAUUGAAGAAUUCAAUAGCAAAUCCAACCGGUCUGUGGUGGAGUGUUCAAGAUUGCCAUUAAUUAUUCAGGUUCUUUAAUUAUUAUUUGAAUUUAUAUAUGUCCUGCAUUAUUGUUUAUUUAUAUUGUUUGCCUGGGAUGGAUUUAUUUAAGCAUGAUGAUUGUUUAGAUCUGUUUAGCAUGUCCGGC